GAUUAUAUGCAAACUCAGUGACCUCCCCAGUUGCUCAGCUAUAAAAACAUCACAUCAGGCUGAACUUCACAUCUCUUCAGUUUCAACAUCAACCAUGUUCUCUGUAGCUCUGCUGCUGCUGUUGGCAGCUGGAUGUGUGAAGUGUGACACGUUGACACAGCCAGGCUCUGUGACUGUGCAGCCAGGUCAACGUCUGACCAUCUCCUGUCAGGUCUCUUAUGAUAUUAGCAGCUACUACACAGCGUGGAUCAGACAGCCUGCAGGGAAAGGACUGGAGUGGAUUGGAAUGAAACAUGGAGAUGGAACUUCAUACUACAAAGAGUCACUGAAGAACAAGUUCAGUAUCGACGUAGACUCUUCCAGCAAAACAGUGACUCUAAAUGGACAGACCAUGCAGCCUGAAGACACUGCUGUGUAUUACUGUGCCAGAAGGGGUGGGAAGUGACUAUGCUUUUGACUACUGGGGAAAAGGCACCAUGGUCACCGUCA